GCGGUGGUAGCUCAAUGGUAGAGCCCGAGCGUGCCAAGCUCGAGACGGGAGUUCGAUUCUUCUUCACCGCU
rnacentral:tRNA from 1 species